rnacentral:lncRNA from 1 species
CUGUAGCUGUCUUCAGAUGCACCAGAAGAGGGCAUCAGAUCUCAUUAUGGAUGGUUGUGAGCCACCACGUGGUUACUGGGAUUUGAACUCAGGACCUUCGGAAGAGCAGUCGAUGCUCCUAACCACUGAGCCAUCUUUCCAGCCAAAACUUAACUCUUUAUUACUUUUGCAUAAAUAAGUGCUAAUAUCUGGGGAUGAAAAAAUGCUGUUUAGUUUGUGGGUAUUAAGUGAAAGGAUUUAUUGCUAGAUGCUUCUUGCUGGCCUGGGAGUUUGUUACCUCUUUGAACCAGAGAGAGAGGAAAGGAGUCACUCACACAGGCACAUAUACACUACACAGAUACACUGUGGGACAAUGGCCUAUGCACAGACAGGCUGGUUGAGAGGUGGAGCCCCGGUGCAAAUGGUGGUGAUCAUUUUCAUCUACAUGGGAAGGAAGGCUUCCCUCAUGCUCCUGGACCCCUGGUUCCUGACAAAGUUACCACCCCAACAGCCCCCAGAGGAGAAGCUCAUGGCUUUCAGUCACAUAGACAAUGUCCCAAGCUUCUGACCUUCAGGCUAGACUCCUCCCAGUUACCUAGCAACAGCAAGAUAACACUGCCCACUCUAAGAGGGGCUGCUUGGCCACUCCUUGCUCUCUUAAGCCUUUACUUUCCUUACUCUCUCUCCCUCUUACUGUCUCUGUCUUACUCUCUUAAGCUUUUACCUCUCUUUCUUUAAGCUUUCUUCCUCUCUAGCCUUUCUUCUCUCUCUCUCCUUUUCCCCUUCUCUCCUCUUGGCCAUGGCCUGUCUCUCUGUUUCUACUUUCUCUCUUUCCCCCUGCCUUUCUACAAUUAAGCUAUAAAACCAGAUAGACUGUCUCUGUUCAUCAAGGCCCACUGUGCUUGUGCUUAUGAUCAGAUAGGCUUUCUCCUAAUGAGCCGUGCCUAAUCUCCUCACAGAAAGACUUCCAAUGCUGCAGCCAUGGACGAGACUAAGGGACGCCUCCCCCCUACCUCUCUCUCUCUCUCUCUCUCUCUCUCUCUCUCUCUCUCUCUCUCUCUCUCUCUCUCUCUCUCUCUGCCCUCUUCCCUGGGGCCCCUAUUCUGUUCUCAGCUCCUCUGCCAUAUCCAGUGUGGGAUGCCAGAGACUGAGAACAUGGUUCUGGGGCUGCCCCUUGUCUACCUUCCAGCUGUGUGGGGUCAGUAGUUUCACACAGCUAUAGAUGCCCACCCAGGGCCGAGUGGAAAACUUCCGGUAGUCCUCCCACAUCUGCCUGCCUAGAGCACAGCAACUCCGGCCGGACGCAGGCUCUCCCUCCCCUCUUCCCCCUACACCCACGCCCCAUAUUAGGUGAAGUAGAAAAUGGCUGUACUAAUACAUUUUAAUGAAUGGAUGGGACAGAACACCCAAGUUAUCAACUUUACUUUUUUCCUCUGUACUUUUUAUAGCUUCUUAGACAAAAGUUCCUUAAAAGAUUACCUCAUGGGCUGGAGAAACGUCUCAGCAGUUAAGAGCACUGACUGCUCUUCCAAAGGUCCUGAGUUCAAAUCCCAGCAACCACAUGGUGGCUUUUAACCAUCUGUAUUGAGAUC